AAAACAGAAGCGGAAGGGAAGGGCGCUGCACACUAUUGACUCUGGCAGGAGUCAAGCUGGCUGUGCCAGGCGCUCAGAUCCCGAGUAUGACUCCCAUCGUGCAGAUGCGGAAACAGAGGCCCCGAGAGACGAAAUAACUUGCCCUCCAGCCCCAUGCUGGUACGUAACUGGGAUUUGAACCCAGGUCUCAUGCACUGCUGAUUCUGCAUCUGAUUCCUGCAAUAAGGAAUGCGCAAAGCAGACGUGAUCAGUGGGGAAGUGUGGGCAGAGACACCCACCUGCUACCAAGAAGAAAGCACCUCAGUCAUGUAAGGUCUCGCGGAACAGUUCAGGAAAUCCCAAGGGCCAGAGAAGGAGAAAAUAAAACCAAGGAAAAUAAAGCUUCUAGCACCUACAGCUACAGCAAACCUUAGAACCCAGCUUCUAGUUGGGUUAAUAUAAAGCUUCACACUGACAGCUGCAUUACCUCAGUUCCUAUUACCUGAUCUACCAUGUCUGGCUUUAAACAAAAAAUUCUGAGAUCUGCCAAAAGACAAGAAAAAAAAAAUGUGUCUGUAGAGACAAAGCAAGCAUCACAAGUAGACACAGCUAUGACACAAUGUUGGAAUCAUGCAAUGGAGAAUUAAAAAUAAUGAUGAUUAACAUGUUAAGGGCUCUAAUGGAGAAAGUAAACAACAUUCUAGAACAGAUGGGUAACAUAAGGAGAGAGAGGGAAAAUCUAAGAAAGAAUUAAAAAAAGUUGGAAAUAAAAAACACCAAAACAGAAAUAAAGAAUGCCCCUGGUGGACUCAUCUGUAGACCAGACAGAGCCGAGGAAAGAAUCAGUGAGCCUGAAGACAUGUCAAUAGAAAUGUCACAAACUAAAAUGCAAAGAAAAUGAAUGAAGAAAAGGAGAAUGUCCAGGAACAGUGUCUUUGAUGACAGAGAAGAAAUGGAUAUGUUUCUUGAAACAUACAGCCUCCCAGGACUAAAUCAUUAUGAAACAGAAUUUCUGAGCAGACUGAGUACUAGUAAGGAGAUUGAAUCAGACAUCAAAAUCCUCCCAAGCAACAAAACUCUAGGGCCACAUGGCUUCACUGGUGAAUUCUACCAAAUAUGUAAAGAAUUCAUGCCAAUAACUGCUUUAAAUGUGAAUGGUUUAAAUAGGCCAAUUAAAAGACAGGGAUUGUUAGAAUACAUAAAAAACAAAAUCCAAUUCUAUGUUGUUUAUAAGAAACCCUCUUUGAACAUAAAGACAUAAAUAAAAAGUGAAGGGAAAGAGAAAGAUAUGUCACUAACCAAAGAAAGUAGGAGUAGGUAAAUUAAUUUCAGAUGAAGCAGGCUGCAGAACAGAGAAAAUUAUCAGGGAUAAAGGUGGGCAUUACAUGAUGAUAAAGGGGUCAAUUCUCCAAGAAGUCAUAAUGAUCCUUAGAAUGUAUGUAGCUAAAAACAGAGUGUCAAAAUAUGUGAGGUAAAACAGAUAGAAUUGCAAGGGAAAAUAGACAAAUCUACUAUUAAGUUGGAGAUUUUAACACCCCUCUCUCAGUAAUUGACAGAUUCAGCAGGCAGAAAAUUGGUAAGGAUAUAGUUGGAUUGAACAGUACCAUCAAUCAACUGGAUCUAAUUGACGUGUAAAAAAUACUUCAUCUUACAAGAGCAGAAUACACAUUCUUUUCAGUUCUCAUGGAGCAUUCACAAAAAUAGACUACAUUCUGGGCCAUUAAACACCUUGACAAAUACAAAAGAACAGAAAUCAUGCAAAGCAUGCUCUCAGACCACAGUGGUAUUAAACCAAAAAUUUGUAACAGAAAGAUAGCUGGAAAGUCCCCAAAUAUUUGGAGAUAAAAUAGUACAUGUCCAAACAACAUAUGGGUCCAAAAGGAAGUAUCAAGAGAAAUUUUAAAAUAUUUUAAACUCAAUGAAAAUAGAACUGACUGAAUUCUAUAGGGUGCAGUGAAAGCUGUGUUUAGAGGGAAAUUUAUAGCAUUGAAUGCACAUAUCAGAGAAAAUAAAAGAUCUAGAAUGCACCUAUUAGAGAAGAUAAAAGAUCUAGAAUCAAUCAUCUAAGCUUCCACCUUGGGAAACUAGAAAAAGAAGAGCUAAUUAAACCCAAAGUAAGCAUAUGAGAAGGAAUAAUAAAAAUAAGAGCACAAAUCAAUGAAAUUAAAAGAGGAAAUUAAUAGAAAAAGUCAAUGAAACAAAAUUUAGUCUGUGAAGACAUCAAUGAAAUUGGUAAACCUUAGCCAGGCGAGAGGAAAAAAGGAGCAGAUUACUAGACUACUAAUUGGUAAUUAAUAAUUACUAAUAUCAGAAAUGAAAGAAGGGUAAUCACUACUGAUCCAAUGGACAUUAAAAAGGAUAAUAAAGGGGGGGCACCCAGGGGGAUCAGCCAGUUAAGUAUCCAACUCUUGCUUUCAG